CACGUAGGGGACGAGCGUUGUCCGGAUUCAUUGGGCGUAAAGCGCGCGUAGGCGGCUCGGAAAGUCGGUCGUGAAAUGCCGGGGCUCAACCCCGGGACUGCGUCCGAUACUCUCGAGCUGGAGGCAGGUAGGGGAGAUCGGAAUUCUUGGUGUAGCGGUGAAAUGCGCAGAUAUCAGGAGGAACACCGGUGGCGAAGGCGGAUCUCUGGGCCUUGCCUGACGCUGAGGCGCGAAAGCUAGGGGAGCGAACAGG
rnacentral:rRNA from 1 species